UUUUUUUUUUUUCUGCUUUUUUUUUUCUUUCUCACAAACUGGUUGUAUUUGUUGAUUUAUUUUUCCAUCCUUUUCACCAGUAAAGAUUAUCAUCAUUUAUUUUUGUUUUUAAAGUUGAAACCAAAAAAGAGGAGAGAACAGAGUUAUGGUAUGAAUGUAUGUAAAACUACAGAGAACUACAGUAAUAUGUACUGUGGUUAUUGCUGUCUUCAAAAAAAACAAAACAAAACAAAACAACAACAACAACAACAAACAACCGGUAGGCAACUCGGAAUCUGAAGGAAUCUUGUCUGACAACUGUGCUAUCCAUGUGGGCUACUGUGUGACAGUGGCAGUGGAGAGGAGACUCCGGCUGGUGACUGGGGACCGGUGGAGUGGGGUGAGCGGGCACAGGGAGGCUGGGGUCCCCUUCCCUCGGACCCCCCCACCUUCCCUUUCCCCAUCCAAAAGGAUUUCAGGAGAGGAGGCCAGAGUCUGUGAAAUGACUAAACUAUAUACUCCAUUAGAAAACCAAGAAAAUAUGUUUUAAAAUAGAAACAAAAGCCUAAGAGAAAAUAAAAAGUGGAGAAACAGUGCAACAUAAUUCUUGCACUUUAGUGGUUUUAAAAACACAGACAGUACAAGGCCCGGGUUGCUGGUUGGUGAAACCCCCGUCCCUCGUCCCUCCUCCACUUUGCAAAACGGAGCCUCCUUUCUCCUGGAAGCCAGACGUGUCCUCUCUGAUGCUAUGGGGUUUCUUCUCCUUAGAGCUCUUCUCUGAGGUUCCCAUCCUGGGCUGGAGCCCUCUCAGGGGUGAGUGGAUGGGUCCGGGGUACUGUCCCACCUUAAGGGGGGGCUUGGCGGUUGCCGUGGCAGCCCUGUCUCGCUAAGCGCUGGGUGGUGGGAGCAGGGUGGUUGAGGCCCACCCUCUAGGGGAGGCCAGCCCUGUGGGGGUACCAUGGAGGCCACAGAGGUGGUGGGGGGGAGAUGGGGUGAGAGAGAAGAGGCAUGAUCAGAAAAGGGCCUCCCUGGACCUCGUGCGCCUGCCUUCCUCCCCGUAUGGGGCCAGUGUCCCCAGGCCUGUCUGUCUAGGCCUGGCUGUCAGAGAAAGGUUCCAGUCUCUUCCUCCCCACGUGCCCUGCUUUGCCAGGUGGGUCGGGGCAGGCUGGAGGAAGGAGGGUCCGUCCUGGCUGGGCUUCCCUAUCUCCUGGCAGUCGUGGGAAAGACAGAGGAUCUUCACCACUGCUGGAGUGAGGCACGAGUCUAAAGCGGAUGGGAGAGACCUUCUGUGGGUCUCUUCUGUGGGUGUGAGUGUGGGAGUGGGCAGCACUUAGACCCAGAGCCAUGGAUAGCCUGGAGUCCAAGGUCUCUGGGUGAGCAGGCAGUCGGCCAAAGGCCAGCCUGGAGUCAAAGAGAGCCCUGCUUAAUUGCCACGCCCACACCAUUCCAAACCUGCCUACCUUGCACCCUGCCACGGGGGAAGAGGUGCCGUCUUCCUCCAGUGCUUCCCUUCCCAGGGUCUCCCACCCUGGGCCCAGCCAGACCUCCCAUUUGGGAGGCUUAGUUCCAUGUGUCCAUGAAGGCCCAGCUUCUCUAGGGAGUGACCAACUGGCCAUGAGAAUCCCCUGCAUGCAGAAGAGACUCACAGGUUCGGGUUACCAGGCACGAACUUUGGAAACCGGAAGAGUCUGGCACACUCACACCAGGCUCUAAUCCCCCACCCGAUGGCUGGCAGCAAAAAGCCAAUGUGAGGGGCAGAAGCCCGCCCAAAGUCCAGACACAGUGGGCGAAGAGAGAGCCCCUCUCAGGUCCAGGCUGGGAGGAAUGUGGGGGGAGAUUGUAGUUCCUGGCUCAGUCUUUUCUUAGGGGAGUGGCACCCCAGUAUCCACUUGGCAGAUCCUAGUUGGAUAACUGCUCAAGAUGCAAAGGAAGAAUGGGUGGAAAGAACAGUGACGUGGAAGAGGUUUGGGAUACUGGCCUAAGACACACAGAAACGUGAGUUGGGUUUAGGGCACAGCUGUGCAGAGACAUGGGGCGUGCUGCCUCGGCAGGUCAAGUCCUUGUGGCUGCUGGCCCUAUCGGGCCCCUUUGUCUCAUGAAGAUUGAGCACUUCUCCUGUCCCCAGUCAACUGUCCUGUCCAGGGGCAUAGGAGAUAGCCCCCAAGUUCUAUAGCUAUAGGGUUCCCAUCAGUUGAAACAGAUUUGCUUUUUCACUAUUCCUCUUCAUAGCCCCAAAUUCGUUGUUGGAGGCAGUCUCCACUGUGUCAUGCCAUGAGCAAAGAGUGAAGAGAGCUGUGUCCGCAGCAUGAAGGGGUCUCCUUGGCCAGUGUCCAAGCCCCCUUUCCUGGAUAUCUUCAGCCUUAAAGAACAGUCACAAGGCCACCCACUGGUUGAGGAAGUCAUUGGAGAAUGGGAGUUUUCUUGGUUCGGAAUCUGGCUGCCGAGUGACAGCAUCCCUGAAUCAUGCGUUCCCUGCUUGUUCCGGCCCUCCUUCCACCCUCCACCCCAGGGAGGACGCAGGGACUGGCCAGAAUGGAGGAAGAGCCGGAAAGACUCGUGGGCCUCCGUGCCUCCUUGCAGGCUGAAGGUGGGCAGUGGAGCGCAUAGUCUUGUCCCUUCCAAAGCAUGGCCAGUUUCGACUGAUUCUUCCUAUCUGGCUUCUAAAGUCUAGCAUCCUCCUAAAGUUACCCACCUUCCCUGGCUCUGUGGCCUGGAUUAAGUUCAUUUCUAUUUUGCAACCCAUUCCCCCAUUUUCCUCUCUUUCCUCUCGAAUCCCAGAAAACAUACAGGGUGGGGAAGCUAAAGAGGUUUCUAUCGGCUUUUUCCCCUUUCUGCUGCUUUGUGCCAAAGCUAGAAUGGAACAGUCCCUUCAGCCCUCUGUUCCUCCCCACAUCUACUCUGGCCGGAACCGUCAAUCUUACUGUUCUCCUGCAUCUAAACCUUUUUGCCACCAUCUCCCUCUGCCAUCUCUUACUUCAGUCUCCCUCCUGCUCUGCCCGUGUGGAGAGUGAGGGAGGCUUCCAAAAAUGCACGUUCUGUUCAGAUGAAAGGAAAAGGCUGGGGCGGGACGGGUGGAUCCGUCAUGGACCUGUUGGGCUCACGUGGUGUGAUGUCC
ensembl:lncRNA